GGAAGAGCUUGCUCUUCCAAAGUUAGUGGCGGACGGGUGAGUAACACGUGGGCAACCUGCCUGUAAGUUGGGGAUAACUCCGGGAAACCGGGGCUAAUACCGAAUGAUAGAAUGUGGCGCAUGCCACGCUUUUGAAAGAUGGUUUCGGCUAUCGCUUACAGAUGGGCCCGCGGUGCAUUAGCUAGUUGGUAGGGUAAUGGCCUACCAAGGCAACGAUGCAUAG
rnacentral:rRNA from 1 species